GACGAACGCUGGCGGCGUGCCUAAUACAUGCAAGUUGAGCGCUGAAGGUUGGUACUUGUACCGACUGGAUGAGCAGCGAACGGGUGAGUAACGCGUGGGGAAUCUGCCUUUGAGCGGGGGACAACAUUUGGAAACGAAUGCUAAUUCCGCAUAAAAACUUUAAACACAAGUUUUAAGUUUGAAAGAUGCAAUUGCAUCACUCAAAGAUGAUCCCGCGUUGUAUUAGCUAGUUGGUGAGGUAAAGGCUCCCCAAGGCGAUGAUACAUAGCCGACCUGAGAGGGUGAUUGGCCCCCUUGGGACUGAGACCCGGCCCCAACUCCUUCGGGAGGCAGCCGUAGGGAAUUUUUGGCAAUGGACGAAAGUUUGACCGAGCAACGCCGCGUGAGUGAAGAAGGUUUUCGGAUUGUAAAACUCUGUUGGUAGAGAAGAACGUUGGUGAGAGUGGAAAGCUCAUCAAGUGACGGUAACUACCCCGAAAGGGACGGCUAACUACGUG
rnacentral:rRNA from 1 species